rnacentral:rRNA from 1 species
GAGUUUGAUCCUGGCUCAGGACGAACGCUGGCGGCGCGCCUAACACAUGCAAGUCGAACGGAGCUGAGAGGAGCUUGCUUUUCUUAGCUUAGUGGCGAACGGGUGAGUAACGCGUGAGUAACCUGCCCUGGAGUGGGGGACAACAGUUGGAAACGACUGCUAAUACCGCAUAAGCCCACGGUGCCGCAUGGCACAGAGGGAAAAGGAGCAAUCCGCUUUGAGAUGGCCUCGCGUCCGAUUAGCUAGUUGGUGAGGUAACGGCCCACCAAGGCGACGAUCGGUAGCCGGACUGAGAGGUUGAACGGCCACAUUGGGACUGAGACACGGCCCAGACUCCUACGGGAGGCAGCAGUGGGGAAUAUUGCACAAUGGGGGAAACCCUGAUGCAGCGACGCCGCGUGGAGGAAGAAGGUCUUCGGAUUGUAAACCUCUGUUGACGGAGAAAAAAAUGAUGGUAUCCGUUUAGAAAGCCACGGCUAACUACGUGCCAGCAGCCGCGGUAAUUC